CCUUUAAAGAGCUAAAGGGAGGGAACAACACAGAGGGAUCCCUUGUCACCAUUAGAUUAAGGAAUAAAUUGCAUGGAAAUACAGAUUUACAAAACAAAAACAUCGACAGAGAAAAAAGGGAGGGGAAAAAACGAACGGAGGAAAUAAGAGAGGAAGCUCAAGGAAUAACAUUUCUAGUCGUGCCCGGCAAGCUGCUUGUUCGGCAUAAAUAAUUUCAAACAGACCUCUCAGUCUGCAACUAAAGACCUGGUUACGGUCUUCUGAACCCUGGACAACGGGAACUGGUGAAGAUACGGAAGAAAGGAUGCUAAAACUGAGAAGAAAGGGAUAGACUGUUAAUGGAGUGAGUGCAUGAAGAUUAAACAAAUAGAGAGAGAGAGAGGUGUUUCCCCGCUGCACGUUUCGCUUGGAUGAAUAGACUUGUUUCGUUUAGGGAAUCAAAGUAAAAGGUUAACACGAGCUUUAAGUAUGCUAAUAGAAAUGCUUAUUUACCAGACAAAUAUUUUUUGAUAUUAGACCUGUGACAUCUAUGUAUAUAACGAGAAUAAUUUAUUUGAGGAACAAGGAUAUCAAAGGUGAAACUUAGGUGAUAUAUUAUAUUUUUCCUAGGCUAGUCUUUUGUAUCACUAAAGGAACUGAACUACGCACUAUAGCACAGUUGCGUUGUUUUGAACUAGCAGGUGUUGUAGCAAGAAUAUAUUGCAUUAUUCAUAACUGUAGCCAUUUUAUAGAGAACAAAAUCUUAGGUUUCUGCACAGUCAUUUGGACCUACGCCAAGAGGAUCCCUCAGUUCAGUCAGAAAACAGUAAAUUCCACGUAGCAUUUUUGUGCAGUUUGUGUGUUCAUGUGUGUGUGUUCAGUGACACGCACACUGCACGCACGCGAACAGAGCCAGACCCAAAGCGAGCUCCUCCUCCCUCCCUCCCCUCUCGGUUCUCUUUCCUCCUCUCCCUCCCCCUGCUCCUCUAUGCUCAGUUCGGUGUGUGUCUCCUCUUUCAAAGGGCGCAAGGGUGGGAACAAGUCGUCCAACAAAGCAUGUUACAGCGCAGACAUGACUUGUCCGUCAGACAGCGAGAAAAUAGUGAUAAACUGCGGGGGGAUUCGGCACGAGACGUACCGCAGCACACUGAAGACGCUGCCUGGGACGCGCUUGUCCUGGCUCACGGAGCCAGAUGCGUUCAGUAACUUUGACUAUGACCCCAAAUCCGACGAGUUCUUCUUUGACCGCCACCCCAACACCUUUGCUUUUAUCCUCAAUUAUUACCGCACAGGGAAGUUGCAUUGUCCCAACGAUGUCUGCGGUCCUCUCUUCGAGGAGGAGCUCGCGUUCUGGGGUAUCGACGAGACGGACGUGGAGGCUUGCUGCUGGAUGAACUACCGACAGCAUCGGGACGCCGAGGAAGCGCUGGACAGCUUCGAGACGCCCGAGCCGGACCUGCCAGAGGACGACCCGGCGCUAACUGGUGGUGCAGACGGGGAUUUGAAGAGGUUGUGUCUACAGGAGGAUGGCCGCAACCCCAGCUGGUGGAGUACCUGGCAGCCCCGCAUCUGGGCGCUGUUUGAGGACCCCUACUCCUCCAAAUACGCCAGGUAUGUGGCGUUCGGCUCGCUCCUGUUCAUCCUCAUCUCCAUCUCAACAUUUUGCUUGGAGACACACGAGGCCUUCAACACCAUCUACAGUAAGACAGAGAAUGUGACGGUGGGGAACGUCACGCGGGAGGAGGUUGUGUUUGAGGUAGUGACUGACAACUGGCUGACCUACGUGGAGGGCGUAUGCGUCAUCUGGUUCACCAUCGAGGUGUUUGCCCGUGUCAUCUUCUGCCCGGACAAGGCCGAGUUCUUCAAGAGCUCGCUGAACAUCAUCGACUUUGUAGCCAUCCUGCCCUUUUACCUGGAGGUGGCGCUGAGCGGCCUCUCCUCUAAAGCGGCGAAAGACGUGCUGGGCUUUUUGCGUGUGGUGCGAUUCGUCCGAAUCCUGCGAAUCUUCAAGCUCACGCGCCAUUUUGUGGGGCUGAGAGUGCUGGGUCACACGCUCCGUGCCAGCACCAAUGAAUUCUUGCUCCUCAUCAUCUUCCUUGCUCUGGGGGUGCUCAUCUUUGCCACCAUGAUCUACUACGCCGAGCGCAUCGGUGCCGACCCGGCCGACCCCACGGCGAGCAAACACACCACCUUCAAAAACAUCCCCAUCGGCUUCUGGUGGGCAGUGGUCACAAUGACAACACUGGGUUAUGGAGACAUGUAUCCAGAGACAUGGUCUGGUAUGUUAGUGGGUGCCCUGUGCGCCCUGGCGGGCGUGCUGACCAUCGCCAUGCCUGUGCCCGUCAUUGUAAACAACUUCGGCAUGUACUACUCUCUGGCAAUGGCCAAGCAGAAGCUGCCCAAGAAGAAGAACAAGCACAUCCCACGGGCUCCGCAGCCUGGAUCGCCCAACUACUGCAAGCCAGACGCCCUGGCCAUGGCAACUGCCUCGCCACACAGGAUCAUGGGUAAUGUGAUGGGCAGUAUGGUGGUCUCUGGAAGCAUGGCAGGAGACUGUCCUCUUGCACAGGAGGAAAUCAUAGAGAUUAACAGAGCAGACUCCAAACAGAAUGGAGAUGCUGCAAACGCAGCUCUGGCUAAUGAGGACUGUCCCACCAUAGAUCAGGUGCUGGGGCCAGAUGACAGGAGUCCUGCCACCGGUGGGCUGGGGACAUGCACGGGGCGUGAACGUUACCCCCACGAUAGGGCCUGCUUCCUUCUCAGUACCGGAGAGUUCCGCACCACAGACAGCAAUGUCAGGAAAGAAGCUGCAAACACCAACCCAGUCUCCCCCUCAGCAGAUGAGUGGUUCAAGCCGGAAGGGCCACUGCUACAGCAGGACCUCAAUGCCAAUUCUGCCUCCUCUUGGAUCAAACCAUAAUGAAUCAGAGAGAACUAUUCUGAAAGCCCAGUGCUUAUCAGAUAUAUGCAAAAAGAAGCAGUAACUGUGAACUAAGACUAGAACAGAAAAUCCACUUCUUCCUUCACAAAUACAUUCCCAAACGAACACCUGAGCCCCCGAACCAGUAUCAGCUCCUGUACAAGUGCAUUUUAGUUUGUAUUCUCAUCUCAUGGCAUCAUCAAUCUUGUUUAAUCAUCUUAGUUUUGCAUUAUUAAAGAGCAGAUUAGUUGUUUUUCUCCCCUUGCUGUUGUUUUAACCUCAGCUCUAGCCCCCUCUGCUGGUUUUAUGGGGGAUGACGUAGCAUUCGCUGUUGUAGAUCAUUAGCACUCCUUUGUCACUUUAGAGGCUAAGAAUACAGAUUUUAGCCCUUAAUGUUUACCUGUUAUAUUUAACAUUAAAGAAAAGUUUCUUUAUGCAUUCAUUUGAACUGACUCAGACCAGAAGGAGUGAUUUCCUGUUUACUAAACACUGAUCAGAGCAGAGAGAAAGAAGCUAAUGCUAAGAAGUCUGCUCACUGCAGCAACGCAUGUUUCCACACAUUCAAGAUAGCUAGCACUUAGCAUCCCUAGUGCAUUUUGUGGUUUUGCUGUGUGUAGUCUAUCUGUUAAGGCGUAGUCAGGUGAACAGAGUGGAUGGGAUGACUCCACUUUUAUCCCUUUAUCUCAGUUCUAAGGUUACGAUGUGGAACAGACAGGCCUGCCACUAGUUAGCUUAGUUAGCGAAUGCCCUGGUAAAAGCAGAGGCUGCAUGUGAUCACAGAGGACAGUGUAAAUAAUUCUCUGCAUGUGGAGUUAACAGCACAGAAACUAUCGUUUGAUUCAAAUGAGGCAUUCGAAAUGUGGAGAGCAGGUCGAGUUCGAACGAUUUAGUGACAUUAUCCAGAAUCCUCUCUGUUUCUGACUUACGCUGCCCUGUCACUACUCAGGUAAAUCUCUUUUUGUUCGUCUAUACCAGUGCUUCCAAAAUGAUGUCAUUCGAAACAAAGAGAGAGGCAGAUGAGAAAACCCAGUGUGCGCAUGCAUUUGUGUAAAUAUGAAAUAAUCAUGUUUGAUCUCAACAUUCAUUCCAAGUCUUCCUUUUCCACAGUGUUCUUCUUGCCCUCCAUUUCAUCAUUUCAUCCAUCACUUUCAUUUAUUCCCAACUCUUACUGCUUCCAAAUAACAACCAAAAAGCCCGGAUGACAUUAUGAGAAACAGGAAAAAUAAGAGUGAUUUGUUAAAAAAAAAGAAAAAAAAAGAUAACUUUUCAAUGAUGGUCUGCCUUAAGUGGAUUGCAAAAAAAAAAAAAAGAAAGAAACCUGUAUAUGGAAUCAGGACACAACCAAAUUCAGGAGAUGAAAGCAUGAGGGUCAGAUGGACAGAUUGUGUGUUGGGGAACAGAGUUUUGGGAGGAUUGUCAACAAAUGAAGAAAGGCACCGUGAAAUGGAGGACAGUUUGGGGAAGAAAGAAAAAAAGCAAAGAGAGGAGGAAGGGAGCUGAACGCUUCUCAGUGUAAGAAUUGCUGAGCUUCUAAACUGCCCCUUUUCUAAAGCUCCCCAACUGCAAAACCUGUCCAGAGGCAACCCCCAGGGUCAAAGCAGGAUUAGAGACGGCGAAAGAGAGAAAACGAGAGAUGAAAGGAGUGCUUCGCUAAACCAACUUGAAGAAAACAUUGUAACGCUCAUCUCUCCAUUUCUAAUUUUAACCCCCAACGUAGGUGCAAUAAACUGACAAUAUCACGUCCUGGGAGGAUGCGGAACACAUUCUUCCUACAGGGAUCGCUGGCCUUGGAAAAUGGGUGGGAUUCAGCAUACAAACUGUAGUAUGUCCUGGUUCAACCUGACGGAAAUGGAUGCAAUUUUAAAGUGACGGGAACUAUUUUUGUGGGGCGUUCCACCAUGGUAAUUGCACCUGAAAGUGGACAAAAAACCCUUGAUCCAGUCUCAGAUACACAUAAUGUGUGGAAAAACACCCAUCAUACCCUUCAACGCUAUGCAAUUCAAACACACGUUGACAGUCAAUUUCAUCAAACGCUUCAAUCGAACAGUUUAUCAGCCAAACCUUGUCCGCUCCUUUACCUUUUGGAGAUCUUGCACGUGCUUUAAAUAGACAAUAGACAGUGCCACCAUCGGCCUGCCGUAUUCCUAUACCGUACAGUUUCCCCAUUCAUCCAAUUGGAAAUCUUGUUCAGAGUGUCCUUCUCAGGGCUCACAGAAAGGUGACUUUGUCCACUAUGAAGAAAAGAGCGUUAGCCUCUCUCUUUUCUCUCUCUCUUAGUUCAGCUCUCUGCAUCUCAGCAUUUCUGUUCCACUGUAGAUGAACUGCAUGGCAUGAAUGAAAACAAAAAACAAAAACAAAACAGACAGAAAGAUGGUAGAGAUCAUGCUGAGAGGAACAAGAGGAAACUGUAGACAGGACCGCUCUGUUUGCACAGUACAAUAUGGGUGACUCUGGAUCAGUGGAUGGGGUCACUUUCUUCACCUUCAUGUGGGGAACAGAAAAUACAACAAGUGCAUGAUAUCUGUUGAAGGACAGAGGGGUUUUUAAGUGGACUGGGUGAACUUUGAAAAAAAAAGCUGAAAAAAAAGAGAAAAUUAAAAAAUGCAUUUUUUCUCACUUUGUUUACCAGCAUGACUAAAUUGCAUGACUUCUGCAAGCCCUGAACCCCAAAUUAGAGGGCUUGAAAUCACUAAACACCGAAAACAAAUGGAAACAAUAAAAGUUUAUGCUAAAUGCUACUAAAUUUAGAAAAAAAGAAUAUAUUUAAAAAAGAGAGGCUCUUUAUUUUGUUUUUGAAUAAAAAAAAAGAAUAAUGUAAAAAUAUAUAGGAUUGCAAGAUUCACAGUUUUGUUGGGUAAAAGAUUAACAAACCCCAAUGAGUCUAGCUGAGUGAUCUAGAACAAACUCCUUCAACUCCCUCAAUGGCUUCAAGUGACAUAUCUUCCCUUCUCUUUGUCCACCAUUUCACCCUUUACUUGAACAUUCCUGGCUCUUUGCUCUGCCCUUCACAGUCUCCCUCAGUCAUGGCAGCCUCCAGCAGUGGCUCGACAGCUUCUCUGGAGACCUCCGACACCUACAGGGCUCUUUUCUUUUGACGGUUAUGGGUCUGAAGAGCAAGGUGGAAGGGGAUUUUAAGGCUGUGGGUGAAGUUUUCUUUUUAAGUUGAAUCCUGAUGGAAAGUUUUGGCUUGAUUUGCGAUGCUUGUUCUUUUUAUUUCAUCCACAUUCCAUGGGAAAAUCAAAGCUUUAUCCAUCGAAAGUGAGCCUGCAUCCACUUAAUAUCAGUCUAAUGUAUAUUAGCGUUGUGUGAACUGCUGUGUCAUGAGACCCUGAGCACUUACUGUACAUCGCAAAGCACUAUUAUUCAAUCAGGAAGCCAUAUUGUUAGAGUAGCGCCACCAUAUGAGCUCAGAGGUGCUCAGGAGACCAUGCUGAUUCAGAAACCUGAACAUGGUUUUGUAGUUCUUAAGUUGUGUUGAGUUUGCUUUAAAAUGUUGACAUUUAAUUCUGUAGUUCAUUUUCUGGUGGUACAGAGCAUUGCAAGGUUUUCACAAGAUUUUGUUACAGUCAUUUAAUAUUUGUUUUAUUUUGAAAGUUUCAAGAUUUGCAUAUGCUGAGCACCCACUAAAACCAGCCAUGCCAUACCAAAAUUGACUUCCUUAUUAACUUAGCAGCAGAUUGCUGAUAUUAGCAUCAGUAUUAGCAUUAUCCUGUGUGCGAGGAGGCCAUGAUUCCACCAGUGUCGCUUUUAAAGCAUAGAUUACACGUGUGAGUAACUGUUUAAAAAUUUGGUGUUCUUCAACAAGAUACCAAGCAUUGGUUACUUUACAAAAGUUGGUUAGUCUGGUUAGGUCAUGUUUAUGUUGAUUUAAAGUGUCAUUUGCUGUCUUGAAACGCCAAGACUGUGUUCUGUCAGCGCUCAUCGGUCAGAAUCAGAUGUAAGCUUAGUUUAGCAACUACCUAUGCAACACCUAAGCAAGACCUUAGCAGCUCACACACACACACACAUGCCAUGUGCUCAGGCCAGCUGGCUGGUGUCUGUUUACCAGUGCUGUGUGUCCAGGGAGGGAAAAUGACACCGAUGCAGCUCCAUCACCACAAGAGCCAGCAUUAUCUGCUGACCGUGUAGUUUUACUUCAUAUGUUAGCAGCUGGUCCGAGUAGCUUGAAGGUGCGACAGAUGUGUGCAGCUGUAGUAGCCAUGUCACUUUCCUUAGUGGUGCACUGAAUUCCCUCUCUCUUCUCGAUUAAUACAUCAGGCCUGUUUUUUGUCUUUUCUGCAUGCUUCAUGGUGCAGGAAGACACUCAUGCACUUUUAGAGUUAACAUAUACGUUUAUAUGUAAGCAUAUAGUCAUCUCAGAGGGUUUGUAGGACAUCUAAAUUGUUUUAUAUGUGCUACUCAGUUCCACAUUGCAUUUGCUGACUGGUUAAGAUGAUGUGUACCUCUCUGGUCGUUCAGAAAUCCGAUUGGAUGGUGUUUUGGAGCAAUAAUGAUGGAGGGCCACCUUUUCCUCAUUGUCGUCAUUAGGAAUUGGAGGACAUGUUCAUCUCAUCCCUAAUAAGAAAUCCUGUGUGCCUGAAACUGUUCCCUGAAUGUGUACGCAAACCGGUCACAUCAUUUGAAGAUGCUCUCUCUGCAAAUGCUUCCCAUGAGAGUUUGUCUUGGCGUGAAUGAGACUGCAACCCCUCCAGAUGGCUGACAGCUCAACAUACCUUUACUUGAAACCCAAAUGUAAAACAUAUCAGAGAGGAGCAGAACAAAGCCAGAAUCAGUCUUCAUGCUUUCUCAACUUCCUGUUUGCAUCCCCUCCCCCUCUCAUCUGUUCCCUCUCCUUCUCUAUUUUUGAGGAAGAAGCUUUUUUGCAUCCCUUGUUCUUGUGUUUUUCUAAACAUAUUGUUUGAAGUUGACUUGUAUUGCAUGCAUGGAAUACAAUGAGGACAUAAUUUGUGAAUAAUUUGUGAAUGGCCAGAAUAAGGGAACCAUCUCUUUCACCUGGGCUCUCUACUCUGCAACUUCUCUUUCUGAGAUAAUUAGAGAGGAAGAAAGAGCAUAUGUUGUUUCUGGGUUCCCUCACAUCCCUAUUUCUUCAAAAUGUAGCCAUGCCAAAUAUAUGUUAUGGCUAUACGCUAGCCAUUCUGAAAGACUAUGUGUUUCAUUUACAUAUUUAUAUAUUGUUUUAAAGAUGAUAUGUAUCUGUAUAUAUCUGUAGUGAAUAUUCAUCAGAGCUUCCACAGACUCAGAGCUUAACAGAUGCAGCAGAUGUCGACAAAACAGCCUGCAGGAACAGAGUUUUCACUGCAUGUGUCUGUACAUUUAUUCUUGUAUAGUUUGACCCAAUAUGCACUACCUGUCCUUUUCUACUUUAGUUACUUAAUGUAGCUUGUUUAAAGGGGGAAUUCAUUGCACUAUCACAGCUAAUGGAGCUGCUGUGUCUACUGCUGAGCGCAAGCCUAACCAUACACCCCCCAAGUUAAGAAACAGGGACAGAGAGAAAGAGAGAGAGAGAGUUAGAAAGAGAGGCCAGUGAGAAAGAGAAGGUUCCUAAAAGAAAUGGAUGAGUUCUAUGCUACUAAGAUUGAUGCUGGAUACAAUUUUAUUGUCAUACAAAAAAGGGGAAAAAAUAUCAAGAACUGUAUAAAAUAUAUUUCAAUGGAAUGUUUAUUAUUUACCUUUUAUAUUUUUGAAAUGUAUAAAGAAAAAAAUUAAUAAACUGUAAUUUAACAGAGUUUGUGAACACUGAGACUUAAAAAUGUUAUAUUACUAAAAGUAUGGAAGUUUGAACGCGAAUGCUAACCUACCUGAUCAAAUCUUCUCCAUUACAGAUAGGGAAAAAAUAAAUAAAAAGAAUUAGAAAAAUGAAAUCCAAUUUAAAAAGAAAAAGUUAUCAAAAAAUCAAUAAAAAUGUUAAAAGCUCAUGCCAAAAUUUUCAA